UACGGAGGUGGCAAGCGUUGUUCGGAAUUACUGGGCGUAAAGGGCUCGUAGGUGGCCAACUAAGUCGGACGUGAAAUCCCUCGGCUUAACCGGGGAACUGCGUCCGAUACUGGUUGGCUUGAGUUUGGGAGAGGGAUGCGGAAUUCCAGGUGUAGCGGUGAAAUGCGUAGAUAUCUGGAGGAACACCGGUGGCGAAGGCGGCAUCCUGGACCAACACUGACGCUGAGGAGCGAAAGCCAGGGGAGCAAGCGGG
rnacentral:rRNA from 1 species